rnacentral:rRNA from 1 species
GACGAACGCUGGCGGCGUGCUUAACACAUGCAAGUCGAGCGGUAAGGCCCUUUCGGGGGUACGACGAGCGGCGAACGGGUGAGUAACACGUGGGUGACCUGCCCUCAGCUCUGGGAUAAGCCUGGGAAACCGGGUCUAAUACUGGAUAUGACUUCAUGACGCAUGUUGUGGGGUGGAAAGCCUUGUGCGGCUGAGGAUGGGCCCGCGGCCUAUCGAGUC